UUUCCGUAGGUGAACCUGCGGAAGGAUCAUUAAUAAAUUUUUUUUUGAAAUAAAAAAAAUAAUAAUCAUCCUACCCUUUGUGAAUUUGUUUGUUGAAUAAUUUUUUAAAAUUAUUUAUUGUCUAUCCAAGUUGGAAAGUUGUAAAAGACUGAAGACUCGGAGCGGCAUAAAUAAUUUAAGGACUUUUUUUAAAUUAAACUUUUGUAUUCAUUUGUCUAAAAUAAUUUUUAUAAUAUAUAAAAACAACUUUUGACAAUGGAUCUCUUGGUUCUCGCAACGAUGAAGAACGCAGCAAAAUGCGAUAAGUAAUGUGAAUUGCAGAAUACGUGAAUCAUCGAAUCUCGAACGCAUAUUGCACUUUUUUAGUUUACUAAAAAAGUAUGUCUGUUUGAGUAUCAGUAAAAUAUUCUCAUAAAAUUUUUAAUUUUAUGGUUAUGAGUGUUUUACAACGAUAAACAAGUUGUUUCACUUUAAAUUGAAUUUUUUGAAGAAAUUCUUAAUUCAGAUUAAAUUUGGAUAAAAUUUUCCCGUAAAAAGGAAUAACUAUACAAGUUUAAUAAGAAUUUAGUGAUUUCUUUAUGAAAAGGAAAUUUAUUAAAUAACUUGAUCUCAAAUCAGAUAAGAGUACCCGCUGAACUUAAGCAUAUCAAUAAGCGGAGGAAAAGAAACUAACAAGGAUUCCCCUAGUAACGGCGAGUGAAGCGGGAAGAGCUCAAAUUUGAAAUCUUAAAGGGUUUCCCUUUACGAAUUGUAGUUUAAAGAAGUGUUUUCUGUUGAGGUUUUGGUAAAAGUUCUUUGGAAUAGGACAUCAUAGAGGGUGAGAAUCCCGUAUUUGACCUUUACUUUCAACUUUGUGAUACACUUUCAAAGAGUCGGAUUGUUUGGGAAUGCAGUCCAAAAUGGUGGUAAAUUUCAUCUAAAGCUAAAUAUUGGCGAGAGACCGAUAGCGAACAAGUACCGUGAGGAAAGAUGAAAAGAACUUUGAAAAGAGAGUUAAACAGUACGUGAAAUUGUCAAAAGGGAAGCGUUUGACACCAGUGUUGUUUUUCUGAAAAUCAAUUAAAGAACUGUUUAUGCUAAGUUGUUUAGACUUUAUCAGCUAACUGUUUAGUUUUGAGCUUUUCUUUAAUGCACUUUUCAGUUAACAAGUCAACAUCAAUUUCUUUUGCUGUAAAAAAGCUUGAGGAAGGUGGCUUGAGAUUCGUCUUAAGUGUUUAUAGCCUCUUGCCUAUGCAGCCGGAGAGAUUGAGGUCUGCAGCGUAGAUCCUUCGGGCUAAAUGCAUUUGUGCUAAGUUAUAGCAUUUUAUAGACAACUUGUUGACUAUGAUUUGUCUUGUAGCUUACUCGCUUAUGUUAUUUUACCUACGCUUAGGAUGU
rnacentral:misc_RNA from 1 species